rnacentral:rRNA from 1 species
CACGUGGUAUCCUGUCUGAAUAUGGGGGGACCAUCCUCCAAGGCUAAAUACUCCUGACUGACCGAUAGUGAACCAGUACCGUGAGGGAAAGGCGAAAAGAACCCCGGCGAGGGGAGUGAAAAAGAACCUGAAACCGUGUACGUACAAGCAGUGGGAGCCUCUUUAUGGGGUGACUGCGUACCUUUUGUAUAAUGGGUCAGCGACUUAUAUUCUGUAGCAAGGUUAACCGUAUAGGGGAGCCGAAGGGAAACCGAGUCUUAACUGGGCGUUAAGUUGCAGGGUAUAGACCCGAAACCCGGUGAUCUAGCCAUGGGCAGGUUGAAGGUUGGGUAACACUAACUGGAGGACCGAACCGACUAAUGUUGAAAAAUUAGCGGAUGACCUGUGGCUGGGGGUGAAAGGCCAAUCAAACCGGGAGAUAGCUGGUUCUCCCCGAAAGCUAUUUAGGUAGCGCCUCGUGAACUCAUCUUCGGGGGUAGAGCACUGUUUCGGCUAGGGGGCCAUCCCGGCUUACCAACCCGAUGCAAACUACGAAUACCGAAGAAUGUUAUCACGGGAGACACACGGCGGGUGCUAACGUCCGUCGUGAAGAGGGAAACAACCCAGACCGCCAGCUAAGGUCCCAAAGUCAUGGUUAAGUGGGAAACGAUGUGGGAAGGCACAGACAGCCAGGAUGUUGGCUUAGAAGCAGCCAUCAUUUAAAGAAAGCGUAAUAGCUCACUGGUCGAGUCGGCCUGCGCGGAAGAUGUAACGGGGCUAAACCAUGCACCGAAGCUGCGGCAGCGACACUAUGUGUUGUUGGGUAGGGGAGCGUUCUGUAAGCCGUUGAAGGUGUGCUGUGAGGCAUGCUGGAGGUAUCAGAAGUGCGAAUGCUGACAUAAGUAACGAUAAAGCGGGUGAAAAGCCCGCUCGCCGGAAGACCAAGGGUUCCUGUCCAACGUUAAUCGGGGCAGGGUGAGUCGACCCCUAAGGCGAGGCCGAAAGGCGUAGUCGAUGGGAAACAGGUUAAUAUUCCUGUACUUGGUGUUACUGCGAAGGGGGGACGGAGAAGGCUAUGUCAGCCGGGCGACGGUUGUCCCGGUUUAAGCAUGUAGGCGGAGGUUCCAGGUAAAUCCGGUACCUUUUAACGCUGAGGUGUGAUGACGAGGCACUACGGUGCUGAAGUGAUAAAUGCCCUGCUUCCAGGAAAAGCCUCUAAGCAUCAGGUAACAUCAAAUCGUACCCCAAACCGACACAGGUGGUCAGGUAGAGAAUACCAAGGCGCUUGAGAGAACUCGGGUGAAGGAACUAGGCAAAAUGGUGCCGUAACU